GAUGAACGCUAGCGGCAGGCUUAAUACAUGCAAGUCGAGGGGUAACAGGUCUGUAGCAAUACAGAUGCUGGCGACCGGCAAACGGGUGCGGAACACGUACAGAACCUUCCUUCGAGUGGGAGAUAGCCCAGGGAAACUUGGAGUAAUAUCCCAUAGGAUCAUAGAGUGGCCUCACUUAGUGAUUAAAGAUUUAUCGCUUGAAGAUGUCUGUUCGGCUGAUUAGGUAGUUGGUGUAGGUAACGGCUCACCAAGCCUUCGAUCAGUAACUGGUGUGAGAGCACGACCAGUCACACGGGCACUGAGACACGGGCCCGACUCCUACGGGAGGCAGCAGUAAGGAAUAUUGGGCAAUGGAGGCAACUCUGACCCAGCCAUGCCGCGUGGAGGAUGAAGGUCCUCUGGAUUGUAAACUUCUUUUAUUUGGGAAGAAAUGCCGAUUUUCUAAUUGGUUUGACGGUACCAGAUGAAUAAGCACCGGCUAACUCCGUGCCAGCAGCCGCGGUAAGAC
rnacentral:rRNA from 1 species